AACCCUGGGGUUCCACACCAACGACAGAGACAUUGACUCUGGGCCAAAGUGCCACAAAUUACCAAUAAUGUUAAUGAUUUUAUAUGCCAUAGUUUUUUCUUGCAAUCCAGUUGUAGUCAGAAAUUAAGUGUUUUUGCAUUUUGUGAAGACAAAUGGUAACAAUUUUUACCUUAGUUAUCCCAGAAAUAUCAAAGCACAUUUGGGAUGUUCUAAAGGCCCAAAAUGUUGACAAAAGGGCAUUCUAAAAUAACUGUACUGUUACUGCGCUUUUUGAAUCAAUUACACUUGAUAUUGAUAAUGAUAUUCAAAUGGGUCCAAUGGCGAAGGUAAGAAGAGUGUCUGCUAUUGUAUGUCCCAGAACUGAUUAUUGUUACAUUGUUCUGGAAGUACCCUUGAAGUAGCUCUCCGUUUUUUAAAAGUUUGGUGACCCCUGCUCUAGAAUAUUCACAUUAGCUCACUGUCAUGUCAAAAACACAUACACCACAUCUGUAUUGGUGUGAAAUGAAAUCUCCAUGUUUCAAUAUGUUUCUUCAACUGCAGGAGAACCUCAAGUGGGCCUGGAUCAAAAUCAACUCCAACAAGUCACGGAGCAGCUCUAUAGUCGGGUCGAUAGUUCUGCAUUGUUGGUGACCCAAUACCAGUGAGGUCUUAGCAACCUGUCAAGAGCCUGGGUAGAUGCUACAACACAAGCCUCAAGGACAAAGACCAAGUGCAACAGUUUGGUGGAAUUUACGACAAGAGGGGGCGCUGCAGAACAAGUUUGGAGGCCACUGCUAUAGUAGAAAUAUGUCUACGUUCCACCCCGAAGGUGCUUCACAGUUCACUACGUGGUAAGUACUGUGAGAGAUAUUCACCAUCUGAAAUACACACAGUGGAGAAAAAAACUGAUGAGACUGUGUUUUAAAGUUCUAAAUCAGGCAUGGGCAAACUACGGCCCGGGGGCCAGUUGAAACCCGUUUUUUUAUUUGUAAUCUGGCCCGCAAAACUUGUCCAACUUAUAUAAUUAAUUUAUAUUAACAUUAUAUUUCAUUUUAGUAUUUAGCCUUAAUGCCAGACCCUAGUUCAUACUAACGCUCCAUCUAUCUGACCUGACCCGGCCUCCCUGUCAUAUAUUAGAACCCAUUGUGGCCUGCGAAUCAAAAAGUUUGCCCACACCUGUUCUAAAUGUUUCUAUGUAGUAUCAGUUUAUCUUAAAAAGACAAGUAAAACUGUAUUUUUAUUAGAUCAUAUAGUGUGUGUAUUUAUAUGUAGCUGUGUUCAGAGUGUCAUGUCAGAUGAUGUGUUCUACUUUCUACAUUCUCCCUGAAGGGUCUCUGUAAACGUCCCAGAUCUGUCCUCUCUCUCUCUCUCUCAGUCUCCCUCUCUUUCCCCCGUCCCUCUGAAACAUUUACAGCACAGACGUAGAUGCCUUCUGUUGAGGCAGAUCUGCCAGAUCAUGAUGGUAACUUCACACUAACUGUCAGUCAGCACUGGAGCAGGUCACUGUCACUGUUAAACUCUCCACCUCUGCCUUUUCAUCUCUGAAAUGGCAAAUAGACCAAAAUUGCCAUAAUGACUUUUAUUAUUUGAGUUGCCAAAACGAAAAAACUUAACUUCCUUCCUUAUUGACUGUUGUCCAUGAAACUCUAAACUGUAAAGAAUCAUUGUCAGACUCCAGUAGUAGUCGUCCUGUCUUUGGGUGAUGGUCUUGCCAUUGUCUCCAUUUUAAUAUAUUUCUUUUCUUGACUGUUUACAGCAUUAUGCCCCGAUGAAGCAACUGUCGCCCACUAAUGUAGCCUACAACCACAGCUGCCUCUGAAUCUACUCAUUCCUUCCCAGGGGUGCCGUGUUCCUGAGUCACCAGCAGGAGUACGAGAACAGAGGAUACUGGCUCCAGUCUGCUGCAGCCACAUGAUGGUGCUGAUGGUGCGGGUGGUGGUAGGUGUGCUGCUGAGCUCCGUGUUCUGCUGAGGG